CGCGGCCGCAGAGUUUGAUCAUGGCUCAGAGCGAACGCUGGCGGCGUGCUUAACACAUGCAAGUCGAACGUGAAAGGGAGCAAUCCUGAGUAAAGUGGCGUACGGGUGAGUAACACGUAGGUAAUCUACCCCAGAAUCUGGAAUAACCUGCCGAAAGGCGGGCUAAUACUGGAUAGAGCGAUGGGAUCCGUAAUCGGAUCUUUCGGGAAAGGGAGCUCGCAAGAGCCUUCGUUUUGGGAUGAGCCCGCGUCUCAUUAGCUAGUUGGUGGGGUAAUGGCCCGCCAAGGCAGUGAUGAGUAGCUGGUCUGAGAGGAUGAUCAGCCACACUGGAACUGAAACACGGUCCAGACUCCUGCGGGAGGCAGCAGUGGGGAAUCUUGCGCAAUGGACGAAAGUCUGACGCAGCCACGCCGCGUGAGUGAAGAGGGCCUUCGGGCUGUAAAGCUCUGUCGAGCGGGACGAACAUCCAUGGGGUUAAUAGCCCCGUGGACUGACGGUACCGCUAAAGGAAGCACCGGCUAACUCUGUGCCAGCAGCCGCGGUAAUACAGAGGGUGCAAGCGUUGCUCGGAAUCAUUGGGCGUAAAGGGCAGGUAGGUGGUCUCGCUUGUCUGGGGUGAAAGCCUCGAGCUUAACUCAAG
rnacentral:rRNA from 1 species